rnacentral:rRNA from 1 species
CCCUGGCUCAGGACGAACGCUGGCGGCGUGCCUAAUACAUGCAAGUCGAGCGGAAUGAUGAAGAAGCUUGCUUCUUCUGAUUUUAGCGGCGGACGGGUGAGUAACACGUGGGCAACCUACCUUGUAGAUUGGGAUAACUCCGGGAAACCGGGGCUAAUACCGAAUAAUCCAUUUUGCUUCAUGGCAAGAUGUUGAAAGGCGGCUUCGGCUGUCACUACGAGAUGGGCCCGCGGCGUAUUAGCUAGUUGGUAGGGUAAUGGCCUACCAAGGCGACGAUACGUAGCCGACCUGAGAGGGUGAUCGGCCACACUGGGACUGAGACACGGCCCAGACUCCUACGGGAGGCAGCAGUAGGGAAUCUUCCACAAUGGACGAAAGUCUGAUGGAGCAACGCCGCGUGAGUGAAGAAGGUUUUCGGAUCGUAAAACUCUGUUGUAAGGGAAGAACACGUACGAGAGUAACUGCUCGUACCUUGACCGGUACCUUAUUAGAAAGCCACGGCUAACUA